GAUGAACGCUGGCGGCGUGCCUAAUACAUGCAAGUCGAGCGAACAGACGAGGAGCUUGCUCCUCUGACGUUAUCGGCGGACGGGUGAGUAACACGUGGAUCACCUACCUAUAAGACUGGGAUAACUUCGGAAAACCGGCUCUAAUACCGGAUAAUAUAUUGAACCACAUGGUUCAAUAGUAAAAUACAAUUUUGCUAUCACUUAUAGAUGGAUCCGCGCCUAAUUAGCUAGGUGGUAAGAUAACGGCUUACCAAGGCAACGAUGCGUAGCCGACCUGAGAGGGUGAUCGGCAACACUGGAACUGAGACACGGUCCAGACUCCUACGGGAGGAAGAAGUAGGGAAUCUUCCGCAAUGGGGGAAAGCCUGACGGAGCAACGCCGCGUGAGUGAUGAAGGUCUUCGGAUCGUAAAACUCUUUUAUUAGGGAAGAACAAAUGUGGAAGUAACUAUGCACGUCUUGACGGUACCUAAUCAGAAAGCCACGGCUAACUACGUG
rnacentral:rRNA from 1 species